rnacentral:rRNA from 1 species
UGGGGAAUAUUGGACAAUGGGCGAAAGCCUGAUCCAGCCAUGCCGCGUGUGUGAAGAAGGUCUUCGGAUUGUAAAGCACUUUAAGUUGGGAGGAAGGGCAGUAAGCGAAUACCUUGCUGUUUUUACGUUACCGACAGAAUAAGCACCGGCUAACUCUGUGCCAGCAGCCGCGGUAAUACAGAGGGUGCAAGCGUUAAUCGGAAUUACUGGGCGUAAAGCGCGCGUAGGUGGUUCGUUAAGUUGAAUGUGAAAGCCCCGGGCUCAACCUGGGAACUACAUCCAAAACUGGCGAGCUAGAGUAGGGCAGAGGGUGGUGGAAUUUCCUGUGUAGCGGUGAAAUGCGUAGAUAUAGGAAGGAACACCAGUGGCGAAGGCGACCACCUGGGCUCAUACUGACACUGAGGUGCGAAAGCGUGGGGAGCAAACAGG